CAGCAUCAAGACAACCAUUCACCAGCAAUAGGAACAAGGAUUGAGACAAGUAAUGAACAUGAAAAUCCAAACUGAAGGAAGUUAAACAUGCCCCAAUUGUUGCAUGACUAAUGAGAUAGCAGCAAAGAUCAACAUACAAAGUCUAGAAGCAGUUUACUAGAAAGUACCACACAGAGCACCCUGGAGUCAUAUGGGCUCAUCCAUGAGGACCAUGAAGAUUUUAAGUACACACCCUGAAUUCUUAGCUUUACUGCCAGAAUAAGAUGCCCACAUCCCCAGACGUGCCGGCUGGCCAGGGAGCUCCCUGUGUUUCGGAAGCCUGCUUCUCAGUGUAAAGGAUGAGGGGCUCUAUGUCUUCUUGAGCUUCCUUCAGUCAGUCCGUUUGCGAGCUGCAGGGUGGCUAAGAAAGCAAUUCAUUAUGAGAAAAAGUGCCACUGGCUUACAGUGUUUAGCUAAGCAUCAGUGAACUGUAGCAGCGUGGCACCAUGCAACUAUAAAGGUUUUGGAAUUUCACUCCAGGCCUCCUAGAUGGGCCCUAGAUACCCAGCAAGAAGGCACAAUAUUGCCCAUGAUGAUGACCAUCCCGUACCUGUCUGCAACAAUUUUUAUUCAUUCCAAAGGAAUCCAGAGAUAAGCUACAACAUACCUCCACCUCUAACCUUCUAGUAUUUAAAUUCCUGUGGGAAAUUUUCAGGAGCAGCACCAAAGACAUCAGAACGUGGGAGGAAAUAGAUAUACAUUAUGGCCUUCAAUCCUGAACAUCCCCACCAAGUAAACAACGGAAACAUUUCCGGAAAGAGCCUCUUUAAUACAUAUGGACAUGUUUUAUAUUCACUACAAGAACCCAAAGGACAAAGAGACUAGCCACUUUGAGUAAGAGACUGAUGUAUAUAGAGGUCAUAUCCUCAAAGUUAUGGGACCAGGCAUUAGGCAAAUAAUAUAUGACAAAUAUUUAGCCAAAAAAUACUACAUAAAAAUAUGUGAAAUUAAUGCUAUAAAGAAUAUGGCUGAAGACCACAGGGAGAUUUCCUGAUGACCAGAGAAAAAUCAAAAGGCUAAAAUAAGGAGGACGAGAGAACAGAGUGCAUUUGCUUCGAUCAUUGCAACAAGCCCCUCCCUCCUGGCCCUGUGAAGUACAGGUAGGGACAUUCAGGCAUUUGGGUUCAUGGCACCCUCCAUGACCCUGGAAGUGGAGUUUGAACAGCUAUAGACCCUGCCCUGCUCAGACAGCCCAUGAAACUGUCCCAGUUAUCCAAAUCACUAUAAGAAAUGGCAGUAAACAGUUCUUUACAUCGCAUAUUUACAAAAUAAUUUGUUACCAUCAAUAUAAAAUAUCAUCCUUAUUCUGGAUUGUCCAGGGAGACCACUGUCAGAAAAGUGAUUAAAGAGAAAGUACAACAGGGAGGGGGAAAUGGAGAUGACAAUCCGAUUAACAUGAGCCGAUUCUGUAGCCAAAGGGAGUCCUGCCUCUCACUGACAUCGAACAAGGUCUCCACACUGAAAGAUACAUAUUAUGCCCCUAACUCAAUACUUAUUCAUGAUGGCACGAUAGGAAAUAAAGAACCUACCUGUUUGAAAAUUCAAAGUCUAAGUUCAACAUUCAGGGUUGUCCACAAUAAGGUGUUCUUAACCUUGUAUUACUAACAAAAGUCCUCAUAACUUUACCUGGAAACACUAAGUGAGAAGAAAAAUACAAUAAAAAUCCCCACAUAUCCUCUUAGCAUCCCAGUGUAGACAUGUGUGAGUCAUAUUAUGGACACAUUUGUACACAUUUAAGUGUCAAAUACAUAGGCACAACUGCCUUAAUAUAGACUGACACAUAAAGA
rnacentral:lncRNA from 1 species